CUUAGUAUUCAUAUACUACAGUUGUGUUUGAAACAUUAUCAAGAAAGUUGACUCAGUAUUCAUAUACUGUAGUAAGCUUCACAGAGUAAUACUUACAUUACUAUAUCAAUUAAAAUAAUAAUAUCUUUAUAUCAUUACUGUUCAACCAUUUGUUUAUUAAGUGUUUACAGGUAAUUCCGCUAUCAACCUGUAUAAAUCGAAAAGAGGCUAUCACCCCCCCUAUAGCCUCGGAUCACGAUCCAACACUUCCUACUACUCUUCUUCCUCGGAGGAUGUAGAUAUUGGAGGAACCCCUCCCUCCGUUGUUAGGACUCCUCCUUCUACUAUCAUUUUGACAUCCAUUCCUGAGGAGACUUCUACUUCGGGGACUCUAUUUGUGACUACGGACAGUUCCGUUCAACUUCCUCCCGAAGUUCG
rnacentral:lncRNA from 1 species